AAUAUGAGUACCGUGUGUGCCACUUUGUUGAUUAACCAUGUCUUGUCCAGGUUCGGUCUGCCUCAAAGAACCGUUUGGGGACAUAUUGUGACUUUGGUGAACAGUGCCCCUUUAAGACUGUGUCCCCAGACCUUUGAAGUACUUUGUUUGUGCCCUUUUCCCACUUGGUUCAGUAAAUGGGGCUUAUUGAACCAAGUACCACACCGUCGGACCACCCAGAAGUGGAAGUGUGCCAUCAAUUUACCUCCCAGGCUGGGAGUCUGCUGUAGGUAAAUUGCCGACUGCUGGGUGGCCGCAGUUCGUGCAAACGAACACAUGGAGGCGGCCAUUUUUGUUCAUUCACACAUGGUCAGUGGUGUGUGUAGCCGAAUCUAUGGAACUGAAAUCGGCUACACAUUUCAACGAACACUGCUGACCUUUACCUUUUCCUACACUCAGUUGUCAGAUACAGAGACUAAGUCCCGUUCGGCAGUUUGAACUCACUGCUAUACUGAGCCAAUUGCGUGAACGGCCCCGUUCGUGCAUUCGAAUGGAACUUAGUCAUUUUUCUGCCUGAAAUAGACUGACCGCAGAGCCCAAAUAUAUGGAACUGUUUUGGGCAGGAAAAUGUGCUUGUGGUCGAUCAUAAAGGACUUCCGUCUAACUUUUUAUCUACUGGAGGGAUUUGUUUGAUUUUUAGAGUGUUUAUGUUUAAAGUGUGC